AUGGUCAAAUCAUGUUGAAACACCAGUUCACAUAUGAUCACUGAAGUUGAGCAAUGUCAAGCUUGGUCAGUACCUAGAUGGGUGACAGCUUGGGAUUCCUAGAUGCUGUAAG